UUAAAUUGAAGAGUUUGAUCAUGGCUCAGAUUGAACGCUGGCGGCAGGCCUAACACAUGCAAGUCGAACGGUAACAGGAAGCAGCUUGCUGCUUUGCUGACGAGUGGCGGACGGGUGAGUAAUGUCUGGGAAACUGCCUGAUGGAGGGGGAUAACUACUGGAAACGGUGGCUAAUACCGCAUAACGUCGCAAGACCAAAGAGGGGGACCUU
rnacentral:rRNA from 1 species